AUUGAACGCUGGCGGCAGGCCUAACACAUGCAAGUCGAGCGGAUGAAGGGAGCUUGUUCCUGGAUUCCGCGGCGGACGGGUGAGUAAUGCCUAGGAAUCUGCCUGGCAGUGGGGGAUAACGUCCGGACACGGGCGCUGAUACCGCAUACGACCUGAUGGUGAAAGUGGGGGACCUUCGGACCUCUCGCUAUCUGAUGAGCCUAAGUCGGAUUUGCUAGUUGGUGGGGUAAAGGCCUACCAAGGCGACGAUCCGUAGCUGGUCUGAGUGGAUGAUCAGCCACACUGGAACUGAGACACGGUCCAGACUCCUACGGGAGGCAGCAGUGGGGAAUAUUGGACAAUGGGCGAAAGCCUGAUCCAGCCAUGCCGCGUGUGUGAAGAAGGUCUUCGGAUUGUAAAGCACUUUAAGUUGGGAGGAAGGGCAGUAAGUUAAUACCUUGCUGUUUUGACGUUACCAACAGAAUAAGCACCGGCUAACUACGUG
rnacentral:rRNA from 1 species